rnacentral:lncRNA from 1 species
AGGAAUUCUCUGUCUGGGUCUACGAAUUCUGUCCUAGAAAACUCAAUUUCUCCGAAAUCACUAGCCGAUUUCAGUAUCAAAACGAAAAAUUCUCAAUCUGGGUCAGCAAAUUCUGGCCUAGAAAACUCGAAUUCUCCAAAAUCACCUGCCGAUUUCGGUAUCAAAACGAAAAAUUCUCAAUCUGGGUCAGCAAAUACUGGCCUAGAAAACUCGAAUUCUCCAAAAUCACCUGCCAAUUUCGGUAUCAAAACUAGAAAUUCUCAACCUGGGUCUGCAAAUCCUGGCCAAGACUUUCUCUCCCCAUCUUCAGAGAAGAAAUCCCCAUUGGGGUCUGAAAAUUUAGCCAAAGAAAACCCAAACACGCCGCUGGUUUUCCCCUGCUCUCUCUCUGCUAGUGAAAUGGAGCUCUCAG